rnacentral:rRNA from 1 species
AGGCCACUGCUAUCGGGGUUCGAUUAAGCCAUGCGAGUCGAGAGGUGCAAGACCUCGGCGCACUGCUCAGUAACACGUGGAUAACCUACCCUGUGGAGGGGGAUAACCCCGGAAAACUGGGGAUAAUACCCCAUAGAUUAGGGAUGCUGGAAUGCCCCCUAGUUCAAAGGUCCGCCGCCACAGGAUGGGUCUGCGGCCGAUUAGGUUGUUGUUGGGGUAACGGCCCAACAAGCCAUUGAUCGGUACGGGUUGUGGGAGCAAGAGCCCGGAGAUGGAUUCUGAGACACGAAUCCAGGCCCUACGGGGCGCAGCAGGCGCGAAAACUUUACAAUGCGAGAAAUCGUGAUAAGGGAACCCCGAGUGCCCGUAAAUUCGGGCUGUCCGUCAGUGUAAAUAACUGGCGAAGAAAGGGCCGGGCAAGACCGGUGCCAGCCGCCGCGGUAAUACCGGCGGCUCGAGUGGUGGCCGCUAUUACUGGGCCUAAAGCGUCCGUAGCUGGGUUGUUAAGUCUCCUGGGAAAUCCACCGGCUCAACCGAUGGGCGUUCAGGAGAUACUGGCAACCUAGGGACCGGGAGAGGUGAGAGGUACUCCAGGGGUAGGAGUGAAAUCCUGUAAUCCUUGGGGGACCACCUGUGGCGAAGGCGUCUCACCAGAACGGCUCCGACAGUGAGGGACGAAAGCUGGGGGAGCAAACCGGAUUA